rnacentral:lncRNA from 1 species
AUUUUUCAAUCACUGAGUUUUUACUUUCUUUUUAAACACUACUUUAAGACAUGUGUAUUUCACAAUAGAGUAAAUCAGGACACAAAAUAACACCAAUAUCAUCAGCAGAGUCAAAAUAACAUCUAUAGAGUGGUACUCAAUCCAGGACAUUCUGAAAGACUGUGUCCGUAAAUGAGAAGCUCCUUUAUUCCUCAUGACAAACUCAAUCCAGAACAUGGCACGAUCAAGAGGUUUCAUUGGCUGGUCAUGGUGCACCUUGGACAGUCUCUGAAUGUUUUCCUUAAAUUAACUUCACUUAAAAUAACGCUUUUUAAGUGGAGCUAAAUUCAAAUUAACUGAUAUUUCCAGCCAAUAUGUCACUCACGCUUUACUUUCUUUCUGAAUAAACGAAGACAAAAGUAUUUGGUCAUAUAAGCAGUCACCAAUGCAAAUACUAAAACCAUCACCAUUAAUGUCAAAAUAACAUCAAUAGACUGAUACUCAAUCCAGGACAUUCUGAAAGACUGUGUCCGUAAAUGAGGAGCUCCUUUAUUCCUCAUGACAAACUCAAUCCAGAAGAUGGCACGAUCAAGAGGUUUCAUUGGCUGGUCGUGGUGCAGCUUGGACAGUCUCUGCAUGUUCUCUCUGUAAGACGGAUUAUGCAACACUUCCUUCAACGCCUCCAGAAACACAGCCCUGUCCAAAGUUGCAAUAUCUACAAUUUUUGCUGUUCCCUUUGCUCGCAUCCUGGAGAGAUUAUCAGGCUGAUCAAAAGCUAAAGGAAGGCCUACAAUGGGCACCCCGUGAUAGAUGGCUUCCUGAAGUCCAUUGGUGCCUCCAUGUGCUACAAACAGUUUAGUUUUAGGAUGUCCAAGCA